ACACCUCAACUCUUCAUGGUUUUCCGUGAUGAGCUUGGACUUUGGGGGUUUUGCUGGCCUACGGUCGGCUCCUCUAAAAUGAAUCAGCUUGCCAGUGUUUGGUGGGCAUCACAGGUGUGAUAACUAUCUACGCUUGUGGUUUUCCCACCAGGUAACCUUCAGCAGUGGAGGUUCGCUGGAGCUCACAGAUGUCUCUCCUCAGUGAGGACAGCCCUUUGAAU
rnacentral:misc_RNA from 1 species